CAACACAGGAUAAAAUGAGAAAAACUACAAAAGAAAUGGAUGACUAAAAAUCUCCAAAAGUAAAAGGGAGUAAUUGAAAGAAGAAAAUGCGAAAGUAGACAGAACUACAUAAAGACAGAAUCUAGACAUUUUGCACAAAGUUUUAGAAAAUAAGGGAAGUAAUUAAGCCCCACAUAUUUAAAAUGAGAAAGACGGCAAAGAGACAAAUUUUCAAAUGUUGAGGGG
rnacentral:lncRNA from 1 species